GAUGAAGAACGCAGCGAAAUGUGAUAAGUAGUGUGAAUUGCAGAAUUCAGUGAAUCAUCGAAUCUUUGAACGCACAUUGCGCCCCUUGGUAUUCCAUGGGGCAUGCCUGUUCGAGCGUCAUUUGUACCUUCAAGCUUUGCUUGGUGUUGGGUGUUUGUCUCGCCUUUGCGUGUAGACUCGCCUUAAAAUAAUUGGCAGCCGGCGUAUUGAUUUCGGAGCGCAGUACAUCUCGCGCUUUGCACUCAUAACGACAGCGUCCAAAAGUACAUUUUACACUCUUGACCUCGGAUCAGGUAGGGAUACCCGCUGAACUUAAGCAUAUCAAUAAGCGGAGA
rnacentral:misc_RNA from 1 species